rnacentral:rRNA from 1 species
CUGAGUGGCAAACGGGUGAGUAUAAUGUGGGAAUCUGCCUUUUGGUUCGGAAUAACACGAGGAAACUUGUGCUAAUACCGGAUAAGCCCUUACGGGGAAAGUUUUAAUGCCAAAAGAUGAGCCCGCACUUGAUUAGCUAGUUGGUAAGGUAAUGGCUUACCAAGGCGACGACGGGUAGCCGGCCUGAGAGGAAGACCAGCCACAUUGGGACUGAGACACGGCCCAAACUCC